AUUGAACGCUGGCGGCAGGCCUAACACAUGCAAGUCGAGCGGAUGAGUGGAGCUUGCUCCAUGAUUCAGCGGCGGACGGGUGAGUAAUGCCUAGGAAUCUGCCUGGUAGUGGGGAACAACGUUUCGAAAGGAACGCUAAUACCGCAUACGUCCUACGGGAGAAAGCAGGGGACCUUCGGGCCUUGCGCUAUCAGAUGAGCCUAGGUCGGAUUAGCUAGUAGGUGAGGUAAAGGCUCACCUAGGCGACGAUCCGUAACUGGUCUGAGAGGAUGAUCAGUCACACUGGAACUGAGACACGGUCCAGACUCCUACGGGAGGAGCAGUGGGGAAUAUUGGACAAUGGGCGAAAGCCUGAUCCAGCCAUGCCGCGUGUGUGAAGAAGGUCUUCGGAUUGUAAAGCACUUUAAGUUGGGAGGAAGGGCAGUAAGUUAAUACCUUGCUGUUUUGACGUUACCAACAGAAUAAGCACCGGCUAACUUCGUGCCAGCCGCCGCGGUAA
rnacentral:rRNA from 1 species